CAAAUGCAAUCAUGAUAUUGGAGAGCGAACUAUGGCCGAAUCUUAUCAUGGGUUCAUCAAGAAAGGGUAUUUCACUGGCAUUGUUGAAUGCUCGAGUGUCUAUGAAAUCCUUUAGGUUAUGGUCUCAACCAGUGCUUCUUCCGCUGAUUUCACUAAUGCUUUCUAAAUUUUCCCUGAUCAUCCCACUGAGUUCUAUGCAGGCAAUUCGCUUCCAGAUUUUGCAGGCCCCGCC
rnacentral:misc_RNA from 1 species